rnacentral:rRNA from 1 species
GACGAACGCUGGCGGCGUGCUUAACACAUGCAAGUCGAACGGAAAGACCCUGCUUUUGUGGGUUUCUCGAUUGGCGAACGGGUGUGUGACACAUGAGUAACCUGCCCUUAACUUUGGGGUAACUUCAGGGAACUGGGGCGAAUACCGCGUAUAACAUCCUGCUGCGUGGUGUUGGUUGGAGAGUUUCGGCGGUUUGGGAUGUACUCGCGGCUUACCAGCUUGUUGGUGUGGUAGUGGCUUCCCAAGGCUUUGACGGGUAGCCGGCCUGAGAGGGUGGACGGCCACAAUGGGACUGAGGGAGGGACCAGACGCCUACGGGAGGCAGCAGGGGGGAAUAUUGCACAAUGGGCGGAAGUCAGAGGCAGCAACCUUGCGUGCGGGAAGACCGCCUUUGGGUUGAAAACAGCUGUCGCAGGUGACGAAGCGAGAGUGACGGUAAUGGGUAAAGAAGCACCGGCUAACUACGUG